rnacentral:rRNA from 1 species
UUAAGCGACUAAGCGUACACGGUGGAUGCCCUGGCAGUCAGAGGCGAUGAAGGACGUGCUAAUCUGCGAUAAGCGUCGGUAAGGUGAUAUGAACCGUUAUAACCGGCGAUUUCCGAAUGGGGAAACCCAGUGUGAUUCGUCACACUAUCAUUAACUGAAUCCAUAGGUUAAUGAGGCGAACCGGGGGAACUGAAACAUCUAAGUACCCCGAGGAAAAGAAAUCAACCGAGAUUCCCCCAGUAGCGGCGAGCGAACGGGGAGCAGCCCAGAGCCUGAAUCAGUGUGUGUGUUAGUGGAAGCGUCUGGAAAGGCGCGCGAUACAGGGUGACAGCCCCGUACACAAAAAUGCACAUAUUGUGAGCUCGAUGAGUAGGGCGGGACACGUGGUAUCCUGUCUGAAUAUGGGGGGACCAUCCUCCAAGGCUAAAUACUCCUGACUGACCGAUAGUGAACCAGUACCGUGAGGGAAAGGCGAAAAGAACCCCGGCGAGGGGAGUGAAAAAGAACCUGAAACCGUGUACGUACAAGCAGUGGGAGCACGCUUAGGCGUGUGACUGCGUACCUUUUGUAUAAUGGGUCAGCGACUUAUAUUCUGUAGCAAGGUUAACCGAAUAGGGGAGCCGAAGGGAAACCGAGUCUUAACUGGGCGUUAAGUUGCAGGGUAUAGACCCGAAACCCGGUGAUCUAGCCAUGGGCAGGUUGAAGGUUGGGUAACACUAACUGGAGGACCGAACCGACUAAUGUUGAAAAAUUAGCGGAUGACUUGUGGCUGGGGGGGAAAGGCCAAUCAAACCGGGAGAUAGCUGGUUCUCCCCGAAAGCUAUUUAGGUAGCGCCUCGUGAAUUCAUCUCCGGGGGUAGAGCACUGUUUCGGCAAGGGGGUCAUCCCGACUUACCAACCCGAUGCAAACUGCGAAUACCGGAGAAUGUUAUCACGGGAGACACACGGCGGGUGCUAACGUCCGUCGUGAAGAGGGAAACAACCCAGACCGCCAGCUAAGGUCCCAAAGUCAUGGUUAAGUGGGAAACGAUGUGGGAAGGCCCAGACAGCCAGGAUGUUGGCUUAGAAGCAGCCAUCAUUUAAAGAAAGCGUAAUAGCUCACUGGUCGAGUCGGCCUGCGCGGAAGAUGUAACGGGGCUAAACCAUGCACCGAAGCUGCGGCAGCGACGCUGAUGCGUUGUUGGGUAGGGGAGCGUUCUGUAAGCCUGCGAAGGUGUGCUGUGAGGCAUGCUGGAGGUAUCAGAAGUGCGAAUGCUGACAUAAGUAACGAUAAAGCGGGUGAAAAGCCCGCUCGCCGGAAGACCAAGGGUUCCUGUCCAACGUUAAUCGGGGCAGGGUGAGUCGACCCCUAAGGCGAGGCCGAAAGGCGUAGUCGAUGGGAAACAGGUUAAUAUUCCUGUACUUGGUGUUACUGCGAAGGGGGGACGGAGAAGGCUAUGUUGGCCGGGCGACGGUUGUCCCGGUUUAAGCGUGUAGGCUGGUUUUCCAGGCAAAUCCGGAAAAUCAAGGCUGAGGCGUGAUGACGAGGCACUACGGUGCUGAAGCAACAAAUGCCCUGCUUCCAGGAAAAGCCUCUAAGCAUCAGGUAACAUCAAAUCGUACCCCAAACCGACACAGGUGGUCAGGUAGAGAAUACCAAGGCGCUUGAGAGAACUCGGGUGAAGGAACUAGGCAAAAUGGUGCCGUAACUUCGGGAGAAGGCACGCUGAUAUGUAGGUGAAGCGACUUGCUCGUGGAGCUGAAAUCAGUCGAAGAUACCAGCUGGCUGCAACUGUUUAUUAAAAACACAGCACUGUGCAAACACGAAAGUGGACGUAUACGGUGUGACGCCUGCCCGGUGCCGGAAGGUUAAUUGAUGGGGUCAGCGCAAGCGAAGCUCUUGAUCGAAGCCCCGGUAAACGGCGGCCGUAACUAUAACGGUCCUAAGGUAGCGAAAUUCCUUGUCGGGUAAGUUCCGACCUGCACGAAUGGCGUAAUGAUGGCCAGGCUGUCUCCACCCGAGACUCAGUGAAAUUGAACUCGCUGUGAAGAUGCAGUGUACCCGCGGCAAGACGGAAAGACCCCGUGAACCUUUACUAUAGCUUGACACUGAACAUUGAGCCUUGAUGUGUAGGAUAGGUGGGAGGCUUUGAAGUGUGGACGCCAGUCUGCAUGGAGCCGACCUUGAAAUACCACCCUUUAAUGUUUGAUGUUCUAACGUUGACCCGUAAUCCGGGUUGCGGACAGUGUCUGGUGGGUAGUUUGACUGGGGCGGUCUCCUCCUAAAGAGUAACGGAGGAGCACGAAGGUUGGCUAAUCCUGGUCGGACAUCAGGAGGUUAGUGCAAUGGCAUAAGCCAGCUUGACUGCGAGCGUGACGGCGCGAGCAGGUGCGAAAGCAGGUCAUAGUGAUCCGGUGGUUCUGAAUGGAAGGGCCAUCGCUCAACGGAUAAAAGGUACUCCGGGGAUAACAGGCUGAUACCGCCCAAGAGUUCAUAUCGACGGCGGUGUUUGGCACCUCGAUGUCGGCUCAUCACAUCCUGGGGCUGAAGUAGGUCCCAAGGGUAUGGCUGUUCGCCAUUUAAAGUGGUACGCGAGCUGGGUUUAGAACGUCGUGAGACAGUUCGGUCCCUAUCUGCCGUGGGCGCUGGAGAACUGAGGGGGGCUGCUCCUAGUACGAGAGGACCGGAGUGGACGCAUCACUGGUGUUCGGGUUGUCAUGCCAAUGGCACUGCCCGGUAGCUAAAUGCGGAAGAGAUAAGUGCUGAAAGCAUCUAAGCACGAAACUUGCCCCGAGAUGAGUUCUCCCUGACUCCUUGAGAGUCCUGAAGGAACGUUGAAGACGACGACGUUGAUAGGCCGGGUGUGUAAGCGCAGCGAUGCGUUGAGCUAACCGGUACUAAUGAACCGUGAGGCUUAACCUU